UGGGGAAUUUUGGACAAUGGGGGAAACCCUGAUCCAGCAAUGCCGCGUGUGUGAAGAAGGCCUUCGGGUUGUAAAGCACUUUUGUCCGGAAAGAAAACUUCGGGGCUAAUACCUCUGGAGGAUGACGGUACCGGAAGAAUAAGCACCGGCUAACUACGUGCCAGCAGCCGCGGUAAUACGUAGGGUGCGAGCGUUAAUCGGAAUUACUGGGCGUAAAGCGUGCGCAGGCGGUCUGUUAAGACAGAUGUGAAAUCCCCGGGCUUAACCUGGGAACUGCAUUUGUGACUGGCAGGCUAGAGUAUGGCAGAGGGGGGUAGAAUUCCACGUGUAGCAGUGAAAUGCGUAGAGAUGUGGAGGAAUACCGAUGGCGAAGGCAGCCCCCUGGGCCAAUACUGACGCUCAUGCACGAAAGCGUGGGGAGCAAACAGGAUUAGAUACCCUGGUAGUCCACGCCCUAAACGAUGUCAACUAGUUGUUGGGGAUUCAUUUCCUUAGUAACGUAGCUAACGCGUGAAGUUGACCGCCUGGGGAGUACGGUCGCAAGAUUA
rnacentral:rRNA from 5 species